GAUGAACGCUGGCGGCGUACCUAAUACAUGCAAGUCGAGCGAACAGACGAGGAGCUUGCUCCUCUGACGUUAGCGGCGGACGGGUGAGUAACACGUGGAUAACCUACCUAUAAGACUGGGAUAACUUCGGGAAACCGGAGCUCAUACCGGAUAAUAUAUUUAACCGCAUGGUUCAAUAGUGAAAGACGGUUUUGCUGUCACUUAUAGAUGGAUCCGCGCCGCAUUAGCUAGUUGGUAAGGUAACGGCUUACCAAGGCAACGAUGCGUAGCCGACCUGAGAGGGUGAUCGGCCACACUGGAACUGAGACACGGUCCAGACUCCUACGGGAGGCAGCAGUAGGGAAUCUUCCGCAAUGGGCGAAAGCUUGACGGAGCAACGCCGCGUGAGUGAUGAAGGUCUUCGGAUCGUAAAACUCUGUUAUUAGGGAAGAACAAAUGUGUAAGUAACUAUGCACGUCUUGACGGUACCUAAUCAGAAAGCCACGGCUAACUACGUG
rnacentral:rRNA from 1 species